rnacentral:rRNA from 1 species
UACGUAGGGGGCAAGCGUUGUCCGGAUUUAUUGGGCGUAAAGAGCUCGUAGGUGGUUCGGUAAGUCGGAUGUGAAAUCUCCAGGCUUAACCUGGAGGGGUCAUUCGAUACUGCCGUGACUAGAGGUCGGUAGGGGAGUGUGGAAUUCCUGGUGGAGCGGUGAAAUGCGCAGAUAUCAUGAGGAAGACCAGUGGCGAAGGCGGGUCUCUGGACAGUUCCUGACACUGAGGCACGAAGGCCAGGGGAGCAAACGGG